rnacentral:rRNA from 1 species
CCUACGGGUGGCAGCAGUCGAGAAUCAUGCACAAUGGGGGAAACCCUGAUGGGGCGACGCCGCGUGGGGGAAUGAAGGUCUGCGGAUUGUAAACCCCUGUCAUGUGGGAGCAAAUUAAAAAGAUAGUACCACAAGAGGAAGAGACGGCUAACUCUGCGCCAGCAGCCGCGGUAAUACAGAGGUCUCAAGCGUUGUUCGGAAUCACUGGGCGUAAAGCGUGCGUAGGCUGUUUCGUAAGUCGUGUGUGAAAGGCGCGGGCUCAACCCGCGGACGGCACGUGAUACUGCGAGACUAGAGUACAGGAGGGGUAACCGGAAUUCUCGGUGUAGCGGUGAAAUGCGUAGAUAUCGAGAGGAACACUCGUGGCGAAGGCGGGUUCCUGGACUUUAACUGACGCUGAGGCACGAAGGCCAGGGGAGCGAAAAGGAUUAGAUACCCCAGUAGUC